GGGAAACUUCCUGAGAGCAUAUUAUCAUUAAGAAAGAGAUGCUGCAGAGAAGAACAUCUUCCAAAACUUGUUGAAACUUCACCACUGAAGUGGUUGCCGGCAAGAUCAAGAACUUGAAGAUGGGGUGAGGUUUUGCAAAAUGUUGGAUCGACAGAACCAUUAAAACUGUUGAAUGAAAUGUCAAAAUACUUGAUUGAGGGUAAAUAAAUACCUCCUGGUAGUGAACCAACAAAAUCAUUACUGUUUAAAUCCAGGACUUCCAGAUUCUGCAACUGAAACAAUUUGGGUGGAACGAUUCCAUGAAGGAAAUUCUGAGAAAGGUUAAGGAUUCUCAGCUGAUCCAGAUCUUCUAAAGACUGGC
rnacentral:misc_RNA from 1 species